rnacentral:lncRNA from 1 species
AGACCUCCAAUGGAUUCAGCAACCGCCAUAGUCAUGCUGAGCGGCAGGACAUUGUGGAUCUGAACCCAGAAAGUUCCCACAAAUAGAGGAGCCCAUCGAUUAAGACCAGAUUCUGUUCUGUCCGCCACUAAUACCAAGUCGUUCUUGAAGGUCCAAGGUUGGUCCGCAUCCACUACUCUGCUCAGAUCUCGUUGCCCCGCAAAGCGCGCCAAGAACCGUCGGUCCCCAAUAUCUCUAAUAGAGACACCUUCCCUGCCCCGCCAUAAGGACAUGAAACAAUCAAUGAACGCCUCGCCAUUCACCUCCUUGGUUGUAAGAACUUCAGCAAUCAAGGUAUACUGGAAUCCUAGUAGUGCUCCUUCCACAUCUUUCCUCUCAAUAUUGAUCCCUUCUCUCUCUUUUUCAGAUAAUUUCAUUUUAGAUCCAAACCGUGAGCCCAGAUCUUCUAGCUCCCUUUUGUCGCAGUCCCUCGCCAUGUCGGAUUUCAGAGCAUCCAGCAAGCCCCCCAACGAACCCUAGUCCCCAAUUCACAGAGAUCUAGUAGAUCUCCCCUGAUUCCAAGAUCCCACGUACCUUGUUCAUCGUACAACUCUCCCUGGAGCAUCCUAACAGAUAACCGAGUCUCACCCAGCGUCGGAUCCCUCGUCCUCCCACAUCGGUGAGUCCAGGUUGCGUCUGGAAAACCCCGGUCUUCCGCACGGUUAAGCCCGUCCCCGAAAUUCGAGAAACGAAUCCUCCCACAAUUCCCACACCCAGAACCCCUCGAUCUCCUCUCGUCAACCACGAAACUUUCGAUCUUCACGACUCCGCGGGAAGUUGAGGAUAGUCCCCGGAACAAACAGGCCGCGCCGGGGAGAUGGCGGCGUAGGUUCCUAGGCACACUCAGUGUUCACAGAGCACCAACCCUCCUUUCGAGGGACACUGUUGAUGAGGCGCUCAAGUUUAAUUGGUUUAUGUUUUGUAAUGGAUCUUAACGCUCGUUUCAAACCUUUUGACAGUUGCUAAUUUCUCUUUG